rnacentral:rRNA from 1 species
GAUGCACGCUAGCUACAGGCUUAACCCAUGCAAGUCGAGGGACCGGCGCACGGGUGAGUAACACGUAUCCAACCUGCCCUUUACUCGGGGAUAGCCUUUCGAAAGAAAGAUUAAUACCCGAUGGAAAGGAGGGGGAUGCGUUCCAUUAGGUUGUUGGGGAGGUAACGGUGCACCAAGCCUUCGAUGGAUAGGGGUGCUGAGAGGAAGGUCCCCCACAUUGGAACUGAGACACGGUCCAAACUCCUACGGGAGGAAGCAGUGAGGAAUAUUGGUCAAUGGGCGUUAGCCUGAACCAGCCAAGUAGCGUGAAGGAUGAAGGCUUAUGGGUCGUAAACUUCUUUUAUAUAAGAAUAUGUAUUAUAUGAAUAAGGAUCGGCUAACUCCGUGCCAGCAGCCGCGGUAAUAC